UAGUAGACGUGAUAGCACACUGAAGCAGGGGAGAGGGGAGAGGUGCAUGAGAAGGGAGUGAGCAAAUAUUAUCAAAAGCAGUGGAGGAAGAGGACUGAGAAAAGUCCACUAGAUUAAGACGAUUGUGAAGGAGAAAUACAAGCCAAAGCAGCAUGCAAUUUAACUUUAAAUUAUAACACCCAGUAUGGUCUAUAGUCUGCAAAUCUACAGCUGUGGGAAAGAAAAGUAUCAGCCUUUUGAAGGUCAACUGCCAAUGCAUUUGAAAAGCCAGAAUUCUCAUUUUAGGGAUUUCUCUAUGGAAAAAGAAGAAAUAGGACAUUCAGUGCAGCACUGUUUAUGAGAGAAACCUUACCGCAGGAGUUAAGAACACUCACUCUAGAGCCAGACAACCUGAGACCUGAGGAUUGUGCACAACCUGCUUUGACACUGGUGCACCACACUGGCCCUAAGGUUUCCUUCCACCCAGAUCAUAAAAGGGAUGUUGUGCUGUUCUCAAGCUUUCCUAAUUUGAAUGUGCCAUCUGUUUCCUGCUUGGACCCUGACUGAUUGAAAAGGUGUCUAGUCUUCGAUUUAUAGGUUGAAGUCCAAGCAAGAGAAAGGAAAUGCUUUUACCCUUCAAGUGCCUUCCUCUUUAAAUGUGAAAGAUUAUAUGAAACUUUAUUAGAGACCAAAUGGAAGUUUUCUGUCCUCUCUCCCCUUUUUCAACAAUUUUCUUCAUGGGUCUGUGUUUCAGAUUAGAUAAUUACGGCACUGCAUCCAAAUCCUG